UGCAAUUUUCAUCUUCUAAUUUUAAUAAUCACUUUUAAAUAGUACUCAAAUGACGACAUAUAUCUUUGAAGGAUACUCCAGAUAUGGUGGCCCAUUAGAAUCUUCAAUGCAGAACUGUGGGGAAAGACCAACCAAGAACCCCUGCAUAUAAUCAUCCGGAGAAAGAAGUGGGGAUGGAUAGGACACACACUGCGCAGACCACCGGGUGACAUUCAAAGACAGGAUUUGGAAUGGAACCCUGCUGGGAGAAGGAGAAGGGGACGACCCCGUGAUACAUGGAGAAGAGAUGUGCACAAGGAACUGAAGGAUGCGGGAAAGGAAUGGCGAGAGAUGAAGGUUCCAGCUCAGAAUCGUGUGAGAUGGAGGCUUGCUGUUGGUGCCCUAUGUUCCACUAGGAACAAAGCGGAUUAAGCAGUAAUUAAAUUGCUCAGGAAAUUGACAGAAUUUAUGAGGAACGGCUAGAGGCAGCAAGUGAAGGAAAAGAUAUCCAGUUGGAGAUAUUCCAGCACUGGGUAAAAGACCUUAGAGAGCAGAAUGACAAUUUGAAACAUGUAGUAAUCAAAUUAGAGCAAGACUUCCUAAAUCAGUGCAUGAACUGUUGUGAGAUGGAGCAAUAUAACCAGAAAAGAAUUGAGGACAUGAAAAAGAUGCUGAGUUUCAAAGAAAAGAUAAUUGAAAGACAGAAAAAUUUUAUUGAGCAAAUGAGAAACUACAAAUUUCCAAAUCAAAACAAACCGAACAGAUUUGGAUUGAAUAAUACUCAGUUAUAUGACCUAAAGUCGAACACCCAGAAUAAGAGAGGAGGUAGUCAUGAUUUUUCAACUAAUAAUGCAGACAUUGAGCAUGAUGAUUUAAAUAACAAUCAAACAAGUGACAAAAACUUUGAUCCUUGCAAUUGCAAAAGUAAAAGUAAGAGAGGGAAUAGUGGAGAAUCUACAAAAUACAACGACAUCCUGAACAAUCACAAAGACGAUAAAGUGAAUGAGUUGACAGCGCAAUUGGAAGAGAAGGAGAAACUCAUUUCUAAUCUCCAAGAACAGUUAAAAACAUUAAAAUGUAUGCCAAACGAAGUCAAGCCUCUGAUUGCCAAGAUAAAGGAGUUUGUGAAAACAAUGAGUGAAAUCCUGAAGAAAUCGCGCAAUGAGGAUUCCAUUAUGAGACUUCUCACUUGUCUGGAAUGCAUUUCGCUCUGUCUAAAUGAACUUCAACUGAUUGUUGACCAUUAUAAGGAGAAUCAAAGAGAGAAGAUAACACCGAGGGUGACUCUGAACAACGACUCUAGUUCUGUCACCGAAAUAUUCAGACGAAAGCCACCUGAAUCAUCAGAAACUUCAGUGAAGAAUGAUGUGAGAAAUCUAAUGAGAGAGGUUCAUGAUCAGGAAGAAGUAAUUGAUAGUUUGAGAAACGCACUGGCUGAUGCUCAGGAUCAUAUUAAAAGUCUCAACGCUAGUAACUAUGCUCUCAAGAAAAAAAAUGAAUGUGCUUGUAAGUGAAUGAAUGAGAUCACAACAUAAAAAUGAAAACUUGAAAAGUGAAAAACUAUGAGAAAUGAACGUGGAAUAAAAAAGACUGAGGGCAGUAUGUAAAAUUCAUCGACAAUAUAUUUUCGUCAAAGAACAUUUAGUACAAAAUAAUAAUCACAAAGAUUGAGAAGCUUCCAAUAUAUGAUUAAGCAAAAUGAAUAAUAUGAACAAAAAUAAGUUUUGGAAACAACACAUAGAAGCUUGAUUAUGAUAUACAUAUAAAUAUAUGGUAGAAGAUUCAAUACAAGAAAAAUUAAUACCUAGUAUUUCUGUGAAAAUUAAUAUUGAAUACAGAUAUAUAAACAAAACAGCACCCAAUUAUGUAUUAUAAUUAAUCAUUGUCAUUAUUGUGUCGAACUUAUCAUGACAUUAUUGUCAAAACUUUUGUAGUAAAUUAAAUGUGAGAGAACGAAAAAGUUAUGUAUUUGGGUUAUUAAAUUAAUAUCUCAAGUAAUAAUUUAGAAAAGUAGUCAAAUUAUUGAAAUAACGUAAAUUGUUUUCAUUAAGAAAAUAAUAGACAACACUAUAAUAUUUACAUGAUCAAUAAUUUUCUGAAUAUAGUAUUUCAAGAUUAUAAAAGUAUUAUGUUAGUGGGACAGAAUAAUUGAAUAUAGUAUUCAAAAUAACUCAUGGCUCAAUUGGAAUAUUGGAUAAUAACGAAACCAUAUUAAUUUCUUUCAUACAAUCAUGUUGAAUUCAUGUACAAUUGAAUUUUUUUCUUUUUUUUUUAAUUUUGACUAGAAGCAAUAAUUAUUUUCCCUGUAACCCAAAAAGAGAUUUUUUAAAAAUGCAUCUAAAUGGUCGAUCUGUUUAAAAAAUAACAUUUUUGUCGUCAUCCUUAACAGGAAAUUUUAUAAGAAAAAACAUAAAACAACUAACAAAUCUAUCUAGUUCAAUAUAGCAGAAUACAGUUGAUUGGGUCAAUAAGCCAUGUUUGGAUUCACUUUUCAUCUUAGCUAGAAACAAAAAUCCCUAUACAAAAAUUGGAGAAUCCUUUCUUCUAAAAACAUAUUUUUCUUUCAUACAAACAUAAAAACAUACAAACUCAUUUUCAUUAAACACUAUUUUCAAAUGCAGUCAACAGAAAGGAAUGUUAUAAUACGGACCAAGAAUAGCACUAAAGGUAAAUAUGAAUAAAAAGCAUAUUAUAUUGAAAAAUAAUGGAAAUCAAAAUUUCUACUACAGUCAAAAUCAUAUCCAUAGAUUCUAACUAUUCAUAUCAAUACGUUAAAUAUAAAUUUAAAGCUGCGUUUACACCAAAGUUAUCAACAAAGUGUUAAUAACUUAAUCCUUAUAGAUUCUAUUAGAUUGAACAUAACUUAUCAUACACAUGAUGAACAUAUGUGUUUGUCAAGUUCCGUUCAAUCUAAUAGAAUCUAUAAGGAUUGAGUUAUCAACACUUUGUUGAUAACUUUGGUGUAAACGCAGCUUAAGAUUCAUAGAUUAAUCUAUUCAUAGAUUCACUGAUAAAUGAUUCAUAGAAACGUGUAUAUCUUUAUCGAAAUCUAUAGAAUAAUGUAUUCUAAAGGAAGAAGUAGUUUACAGAGGAAUGUAUUCUAAGGAAGAAUGUAUUUUAUGGAAGAAUGUAUUUUAUUGAAGAAUUAUGACAAAUUGUAUUCAAUGGAAAAAUACCCAUUUUUGGGCUCCACGCCCAGAUGGUAAAAUUC